AUGAACGCUGGCUACAGGCUUAACACAUGCAAGUCGAGGGGAAACGACGGGGAGGCUUGCUUCCCCGGGCGUCGACCGGCGCACGGGUGAGUAACGCGUAUCCAACCUGCCUCUGACUGAGGGAUAACCCGUCGAAAGUCGGCCUAAUACCUCAUGGCAUCGUCUGCGGGCAUCCAACGACGAUUAAAGAUUUCAUCGGUCAGGGAUGGGGAUGCGUCUGAUUAGCUAGUUGGCGGGGUAACGGCCCACCAAGGCGACGAUCAGUAGGGGUUCUGAGAGGAAGGUCCCCCACAUUGGAACUGAGACACGGUCCAAACUCCUACGGGAGGCAGCAGUGAGGAAUAUUGGUCAAUGGGCGAGAGCCUGAACCAGCCAAGUAGCGUGCAGGAUGACGGCCCUAUGGGUUGUAAACUGCUUUUAUGCGGGGAUAAAGUGAGGGACGUGUCCUUCAUUGCAGGUACCGCAUGAAUAAGGACCGGCUAAUUCCGUG
rnacentral:rRNA from 1 species